UACGUAGGGUGCGAGCGUUGUCCGGAAUUAUUGGGCGUAAAGAGCUCGUAGGCGGUCUGUCGCGUCGAUCGUGAAAACUUGGGGCUUAACCCUGAGCUUGCGGUCGAUACGGGCAUGACUGGAGUUCGGCAGGGGAGACUGGAAUUCCUGGUGUAGCGGUGAAAUGCGCAGAUAUCAGGAGGAACACCGGUGGCGAAGGCGAGUCCCUGGACAACACCUGACACUGAGGCACGAAAGCCGGGGGAGCAAACAGG
rnacentral:rRNA from 1 species